rnacentral:lncRNA from 1 species
AGAACCCACACUCUCCUCCUCUCUUGCAGCUAGGUGAGGUCGGCUGGCUUCGCUCUGACCAUGCUGCAUGGGGUCUUCAUAGAGUUCUACUCCAGGACGGCCAGCAGACGUGCGCUUUAACUAGGAGACAAGACCCUACACCACAUGCCCAGGAUCAGGGUCUGGUGGGGCACGGUGGAUGGCGCUGGAGGCCGGAAGCCUCACAGGCUGAGCACCCCUUGUCUGACAAUUCCAAGUCUGAGAAGGCUCCAAAACCUAAUUUGUUGAGCACUGACAUUACACAAGGGAAAAAUUCCAUGCCUGGGCCUAUGAGACAGGCUGCAGUCAAUAUGCAGGAGCAAUAAAAUACGGUACAAAAUUAUCUUCAGGCGAUGAGCGUAUGACACAUAAACGAGUUCUGUGUUUAGACUUGGGUCCUGUCCCCAAGAUACUGUGCAGAAGCCAAUAUUUCAAAGCUGGAGCCACUUCUGCUCUCAGCAUUUACAUAAGGGCUCCUCCACCUGGCCCCAAGCUGGGCCUGGGGAUGGAUGGGUAAAACACAGACAGGUGAGGUGGCCGGGGCAGCACGAGAUUU